ensembl:snoRNA
AUCCUUUUGUAGUUCCUAAGUGUGAUGGUUGGGUUUUCACACUCAUAUGUGAGAUAUGCCUCCCUCAAACCUUAUUACCACCUGGGCACAUUACCCAUCUGAUG